rnacentral:RNase_P_RNA from 2 species
GCGGCGGGAAGCUCAGCGGUGGGGCCACGCGCGGAGUGCGCGUCACUCUCUCGGCCCCUGGGAAGGUCUGAGACUCGGGCCAGCAGCGGCCCUAGCAGGGCCCUCCCCGCGCGCGGGGGGGUGAGUUCCCAGAGAGCGGGCCCCGGAGAGGGCCUUCGGGCAGGAGAGGCCGCGCGCGCGGCGGAUGCCCCUCUUCUGAGGGGGCCCUCUCCCCACUCUUCUGUUUCUGGACAGCUCUAGCUAUUAGAAAUUCUUCCUCACACUGACCUCAAAUCUGUUACUUGGAAAGUAUCUUCUUCCCUGACUAACCCCUGACCCCCAACUAUUCAACCCACAGGCCACAGAGAGUAAAUUCAAUCUGUUUCAGAGGUCAGCCCAUCUGAUGCUUGACAGUUAACAUGACAGCACCAGAUACUCCAAUUCAUUCAACCAU